rnacentral:rRNA from 1 species
CUGGCUCAGGAUGAACGCUAGCUACAGGCUUAACACAUGCAAGUCGAGGGGCAUCAUGGAGUUGCUGCAAACUCUGAUGGCGACCGGCGCACGGGUGAGUAACGCGUAUCCAACCUUCCCUAUAGUAGAGGAUAGCCCGGCGAAAGUCGGAUUAAUACUCUAUGUUUUCCGUUGCAGACAUCUAAGAUGGAACAAAGGCUUGCCGCUAUAGGAUGGGGAUGCGUCUGAUUAGGUAGUCGGCGGGGUAACGACCCACCGAGCCAUCGAUCAGUAGGGGUUCUGAGAGGAAGGUCCCCCACAUUGGAACUGAGACACGGUCCAAACUCCUACGGGAGGCAGCAGUGAGGAAUAUUGGUCAAUGGGCGAGAGCCUGAACCAGCCAAGUAGCGUGCAGGACGACGGCCCUAUGGGUUGUAAACUGCUUUUAUGCGGGGAUAAAGUUCACUACGUGUAGUGUUUUGUAGGUACCGCAUGAAUAAGGACCGGCUAAUUCCGUGCCAGCAGCGGC